UACGGAGGGUGCGAGCGUUGUCCGGAAUCACUGGGCGUAAAGGGCGCGUAGGCGGCCUGAUAAGUAGGGGGUGAAAUCCUGAGGCUUAACCUCAGGGCUGCCUUCUAAACUGUCAGGCUCGAGCACAGUAGAGGCAGGUGGAAUUCCCGGUGUAGCGGUGGAAUGCGUAGAGAUCGGGAAGAACAUCAGUGGCGAAGGCGGCCUGCUGGUCUGUUGCUGACGCUGAGGCGCGACAGCGUGGGGAGCAAACAGG
rnacentral:rRNA from 1 species